rnacentral:lncRNA from 1 species
GAAAGGACGGUGUCACGGAAACGAGCUCCACCCGAGACGCCUAGAGCACAGCGUGCCUCGGGGCCCGGGGAGAAAGGCGAGCGCUCCUGCGACUUUCCAGGGGGAAUCAGGCAACCAGGGCUGAGUCCCGCAGUCGCGUGAGGGAAACCUCGCGAGACUUCACUCGGGCUGCGGCGGUGCCCGGAGGCGGGAACCGCCGAGGUCUGGUGCUCGGCGCUGGGCACCCGCCCCCGACCCGGUCUCCCGUCCACACCCGCCCUGGCCCUCUGGGGGGACGGAGGCACGGCCUCCUCGUUACCGACCUCAGAGCUAAACUCAUUCUCUCUUCCGACAGAGAUGUUCCACUCGGGGACUUUACCACGGGAACCGCUCAACAGCCACCAACCUCCACGCCUCGGGGACCACCCACCAGACAAGUUUCUGGGCGCGAUUGGCUGAAAUUGCCAACAGCCGGCCUAUUGGGGCGGAAGCGUCGCUGCUCUUCUUUUUUCAUUGGUCAGCAUUCAUGUCAAUCAAGUACACAUUUUUUGGCCCUGGUUGUCAGUCUGGCUCCCUGGAUUGGCCAGGUUCUUUCCCGACUCCCUUGCGCGCGUAUUAGAGUCACCACGCGAGACUCAGGCAGGCAAGGCGAGGCCCCACGCGUGACAUGCACGGCGUCGACCGAGGGAAGGGAAAAGGCCAGCCCAAGCAGCCUGCUCAGAACGAGGGAGCAGUUUAUUGGGGAACCAGGUCUGCGAAAAGAUGUACAAUUUUAGGUGGCCGGUGCACCUGAGAAACUUAAAUCUAAAGGCGACAUUCUUUAUUCUUAGUUCAGUGAGGACCAAGCUAAGCGUUCUCCCCCGUACAUCUCCCAAGUGAUUUUAAGGCAGGCUGGAUUAUGGAUUAGGCUUCUCGUUUUGCUGUUUUGUUAGGUCAUUUACAAUGAGACUAGCCAAACCACCCUUUUCUUCUGUGCGAUUGGAAAUGUGUGCUUGCUUCUGCUUCUCAUUUUCUAGUGCUAUAAAGUGUUUAUGUGCGUCUUAUCUUCACUGCCCACCAAGCCUCUUAAAGUUUACUUAGAUCAUCAGACUGCGAGCGAGACUGACUGUCUUCAAGGCCAGGGUUCUGUUUACACGAGUAUUUGUACCAAACAAAAUAUCUGGAACUUAGGUGCUCCAUAAAUAUUUGAUGCAUAAAAUGAGGUAUUAUUGUGGAAAACUUGGAAACUACUGAGCUAACCUGCAGUGCUUAUCGGUAUAAAUACAAUAAACUGGGGCUAGGAAUUAGAAACGGCAAA